AUACGGAGGGUGCAAGCGUUACUCGGAAUCACAGGGCGUAAAGCGCGCGCAGGCGGCUUGGUAAGUUGGAUGUGAAAGCCUACGGCUCAACCGUAGAACUGCAUCCAAAACUGUCAAGCUAGAGUGUGGGAGAGGAAGAUGGAAUUAGUUGUGUAGGGGUAAAAUCCGUAGAGAUAACUAGGAAUACCAAAAGCGAAGGCAAUCUUCUGGAACACUACUGACGCUGAGGCGCGAAAGCGUGGGGAGCAAACAGGAUUAGAUACCCUAGUAGUCC
rnacentral:rRNA from 1 species